UAAGCAUGAAGCCCCCCUCAAGAUGAGAUUUCCCAUUCCUAUAAGGAAGUAAGAUCCCUGAAAGAUGAUCAGGUUGAUAGGUCUGAGGUGGAAGUGUGGCGACACAUGGAGCUGACAGAUACUAAUCGAU
rnacentral:rRNA from 1 species